rnacentral:rRNA from 1 species
AGAUUGAACGCUGGCGGAAUGCUUUACACAUGCAAGUCGAACGGCAGCACGGGACUCAGGCAACUGAGCCCUGGUGGCGAGUGGCGAACGGGUGAGUAACAUAUCGGAACGUACCCAGUCGUGGGGGAUAACUCUCCGAAAGGAGAGCUAAUACCGCAUACGUCCUGAGGGAGAAAGCGGGGGACCUAAGGGUAACUGAGGGCCUCGCGCGAUUGGAGCGGCCGAUAUCGGAUUAGCUAGUUGGUGAGGUAAAGGCUCACCAAGGCGACGAUCCGUAGCGGGUCUGAGAGGACGACCCGCCACACUGGAACUGAGACACGGUCCAGACUCCUACGGGAGCAGCGAGUGGGGAACUUUUGGACAAGUGGGCGAAAGCCUGAUCCAGCCAUGCG